GACGAACGCUGGCGGCGUGCCUAACACAUGCAAGUCGAACGGAAAGGCCCUGCUUUUGUGGGGUGCUCGAGUGGCGAACGGGUGAGUAACACGUGAGUAACCUGCCCUUGACUUUGGGAUAACUUCAGGAAACUGGGGCUAAUACCGGAUAGGAGCUCCUGCUGCAUGGUGGGGGUUGGAAAGUUUCGGCGGUUGGGGAUGGACUCGCGGCUUAUCAGCUUGUUGGUGGGGUAGUGGCUUACCAAGGCUUUGACGGGUAGCCGGCCUGAGAGGGUGACCGGCCACAUUGGGACUGGGAUACGGCCCAGACUCCUACGGGGGGCAGCGGUGGGGAAUAUUGCACAAUGGGCGGAAGCCGGAUGCAGCAACGCCGCGUGCGGGAUGACGGCCUUCGGGUUGUAAACCGCUUUCGCCUGUGACGAAGCGUGAGUGACGGUAAUGGGUAAAGAAGCACCGGCUAACUACGU
rnacentral:rRNA from 1 species